UACGGAGGGUGCAAGCGUUAUCCGGAUUCACUGGGUUUAAAGGGUGCGUAGGUGGGCAGGUAAGUCAGUGGUGAAAUCUCCGGGCUUAACCCGGAAACUGCCAUUGAUACUAUCUGUCUUGAAUACCGUGGAGGUGAGCGGAAUAUGUCAUGUAGCGGUGAAAUGCUUAGAUAUGACAUAGAACACCAAUUGCGAAGGCAGCUCACUACGCGAAUAUUGACACUGAGGCACGAAAGCGUGGGAUCAAACAGG
rnacentral:rRNA from 1 species